AUCCCAAUACUCUAUCUUACCCCUUUGUCUUACCCCUUCCCCUUGGUGUUGCGCGUUCAUGUGAGAUCAAGGGCCAUCUCAAUUCUCAUUUUGAUCGAGGGGGAGGGGUAAGGUUAAGGGUUAGAUACCCCUUAAAACCAAGCUAGUUCGCGGGCUCACUUGAAACCAAGGGGAACGCAAAACACACGGCGAAACCGGCAACAAUGGCGGCCAAAACAUCGAGGGAGUCCCACAAAUGGACACCGGAGGAAACCAGGAGGCUGAUUCAUUUUCGGGCAGAACAUGGCCAUACGUUUUUGAGGUCCAAAUAUGCUGCUAAGCAACAAUGAGAACUGCGAACACCCAAAACUGGGCCAGGUCCUACAGACGGGGGGGAAGUGACCGCUGCAACCUGGCAGUUCUUUGAGGACGUGCAUGAUGUGUUGUUGGGUGCCAGGCCUUCACUCGACCCUCCUGUUGUGGCAUCUUUUUCUGCGGAUCCCACGUCAAUCCUCAUGGAAAUUGUUGAGCCCUCAUCCCCACCCUGCACCUCUGUAACCAGCCCUUCAGCACCCUGCACCUCUGCAGCCAUGAAAAAAAUCAACACCAUCCUGGAUUUCCUCACUGAGGAGUCCAACAAGGAGCAGA